GAUGAACGCUAGCGGCAGGCCUAACACAUGCAAGUCGAGGGGUAACAGAAAGAAGCUUGCUUUUUUGCUGACGACCGGCGCACGGGUGCGUAACGCGUAUGCAACCUACCUUUUACUGGGGGAUAGCCCGGAGAAAUUCGGAUUAAGACCCCAUAAUAUUGUUGAUUGGCAUCAAUUAACACUUAAAGAUUACGGUAAGAGAUGGGCAUGCGUCCUAUUAGCUAGAUGGUAAGGUAACGGCUUACCAUGGCUACGAUAGGUAGGGGGCCUGAGAGGGUGAUCCCCCACACUGGUACUGAGACACGGACCAGACUCCUACGGGAGGCAGCAGUGAGGAAUAUUGGUCAAUGGACGGAAGUCUGAACCAGCCAUGCCGCGUGCAGGAAGAAUGUCCUAUGGAUUGUAAACUGCUUUUAUUUGAGAAUAAACCCCUUUACGUGUAGAGGGCUGAAUGUAUCAAAUGAAUAAGCACCGGCUAACUCCG
rnacentral:rRNA from 1 species